GGAGGAUUACCCAAGUCCGGCUGAAGGGAACGGUCUUGAAAACUGUCAGGCGUGUAAAAGCGUGCGUGGGUUCGAAUCCCACAUCCUCCU
rnacentral:tRNA from 1 species